rnacentral:rRNA from 1 species
GACGAACGCUGGCGGCGUGCUUAACUCAUGCAAGUCGAACGGAAAGGCCCUGCUUUUGUGGGGUGCUCGAGUGGCGAACGGGUGAGUAACACGUGAGUAACCUGCCCUUGACUUUGGGAUAACUUCAGGAAACUGGGGCUAAUACCGGAUAGGAGCUCCUGCUGCAUGGUGGGGGUUGGAAAGUUUCGGCGGUUGGGGAUGGACUCGCGGCUUAUCAGCUUGUUGGUGGGGUAGUGGCUUACCAAGGCUUUGACGGGUAGCCGGCCUGAGAGGGUGACCGGCCACAUUGGGACUGAGAUACGGCCCAGACUCCUAUGGGAGGCAGCAGUGGGGAAUAUUGCACAAUGGGCGGAAGCCUGAUGCAGCAACGCCGCGUGCGGGAUGACGGCCUUCGGGUUGUAAACCGCUUUCGCCUGUGACGAAGCGUGAGUGACGGUAAUGGGUAAAGAAGCACCGGCUAACUACGUG